GCCGGUGUAGCUCAAAGGUAGAGCGUCGGUCUCCAAAACCGAAGACGUUGGAUCGAUACCAGCCUCCGCGCGCCA
rnacentral:tRNA from 1 species